GAUGAAGAACGUAGCGAAAUGCGAUAAGUAAUGUGAAUUGCAGAAUUCAGUGAAUCAACGAAUCUUUGAACGCACAUUGCGCCCGCCAGUAUUCUGGCGGGCAUGCCUGUUCGAGCGUCAUUUCAACCAUCAAGCCCCAGGCUUGUGUUGGGGACCUGCGGCUGCCGCAGGCCCUGAAAACCAGUGGCGGGCUCGCUGUCACACCGGGCGUAGUAGAUUUUAUCUCGCUCAGGGCGUGCUGCGGGUUCCGGCCGUUAAAAAGCCUUUUUUACCCAAGGUUGACCUCGGAUCAGGUAGGAAGACCCGCUGAACUUAAGCAUAUCAAUAAGCGGAGGA
rnacentral:misc_RNA from 1 species